rnacentral:sRNA from 1 species
GCCAGGCGUGGUGGCUCACGCCUGUAAUCCCAGCACUUUAGGAGGCUGAGGCGGGUGGAUCACCUGAGGUCAGGAGUUCAAGACCAGCCUGGCCAACAUGGUGAAACCCCGUCUCUA